rnacentral:rRNA from 1 species
UACGUAGGGGGCAAGCGUUGUCCGGAAUCAUUGGGCGUAAAGAGCGUGUAGGCGGCCCGGUAAGUCCGCUGUGAAAGUCGGGGGCUCAACCCUCGAAUGCCGGUGGAUACUGUCGGGCUAGAGUGCGGAAGAGGCGAGUGGAAUUCCUGGUGUAGCGGUGGAAUGCGCAGAUAUCAGGAGGAACACCGAUGGCGAAGGCAGAUCUCUGGGCCGUAACUGACGCUGAGGAGCGAAAGCGUGGGGAGCGAACAGG